UGGGGAAUAUUGCACAAUGGGCGCAAGCCUGAUGCAGCCAUGCCGCGUGUGUGAAGAAGGCCUUCGGGUUGUAAAGCACUUUCAGCGAGGAGGAAGGUGGUGAGCUUAAUACGCUCAUCAAUUGACGUUACUCGCAGAAGAAGCACCGGCUAACUCCGUGCCAGCAGCCGCGGUAAUACGGAGGGUGCAAGCGUUAAUCGGAAUUACUGGGCGUAAAGCGCACGCAGGCGGUUUGUUAAGUCAGAUGUGAAAAUCCCCGGGGCUCAACCUGGGAACUGCAUUUGAAACUGGCAAGCUAGAGUCUCGUAGAGGGGGGUAGAAUUCCAGGUGUAGCGGUGAAAUGCGUAGAGAUCUGGAGGAAUACCGGUGGCGAAGGCGGCCCCCCUGGANGAAGACUGACGCUCAGGUGCGAAAAGGCGUGGGGG
rnacentral:rRNA from 1 species